rnacentral:rRNA from 1 species
UUUGGUGGUCAUAGCACGAGCAAAACACCCGGCUCCAUUCCGAACCCGGCCGUUAAGUGCCGUAGCGCCGAUGGUACUGCGUCUUAAGACGUGGGAGAGUAGGUCACCGCCAAAC